ACGAGCCAAGUAAGGAAACGAGCCAAACGACCCUAAAUUACAUUUGUUUGAAAUGGUUCGCUUAUCUGGCUUCAUUUAAAGGAAAGAUCACGCUGUGGAUGAGUGGAGGACGUCAAAAAAGAAGAACCAAACCAAACUACAGGAGUUUUUCGUCCCCCCAGCUCUCACACAAUCUGCUCCUGCCAGACAUUUCCAGCCAUUUGCAUGCUGCCCAUGACACAAUGAGGUCGUGUGUGUUGUGUGUCGCAACACGGCAGCGGCGCGUGAACCCGGCAGAGGUCGACCGGAGCUGCGACAUUUACAGAGAUUCAUCGGAAAAAACACGAUUUAAAGUUAAAUCAGAUGUUCUUUGUGGGUUGUCAAAACUCACCAUAGAGGAUGUUGAUGAGGGAGAUCGGCAUGACCAGGAUGCCCACGAGCAUGUCCGCCACGGC